rnacentral:rRNA from 1 species
UACGUAGGGUGCAAGCGUUGUCCGGAAUUAUUGGGCGUAAAGAGCUCGUAGGCGGUUUGUCGCGUCGAAUGUGAAAUCCCGGGGCUCAACCCCGGGUCUGCAUUCGAUACGGGCAGACUAGAGUUCGGUAGGGGAGUCUGGAAUUCCUGGUGUAGCGGUGAAAUGCGCAGAUAUCAGGAGGAACACCGGUGGCGAAGGCGGGUCUCUGGGCCGAUACUGACGCUGAGGAGCGAAAGCGUGGGGAGCAAACAGG